AAUAUUACAAGCACUCUUCAAAGCUGAAGGUAUUUCACAAGGUUGGUUUUGUCAUUGAAUGUAUUUCAACUACUAAUUCUUAAAAGCCAAUAGUAAAACCAGCAAGACCUGAAGAGAGGGAGGAACCUGAGACACUGGAACAGGUUGCCCUGGGAGGUGGUAGAGGCUCCAUGCCUGGAGGUUUUUAAGGCCAGGCCUGAUGUGGCUCUGAGCAACCUGAUCUAGUGUGAGGAGUCCCUGCCCAUGGUAGGAGGGUUGGAACUAGAUGAUCCUUGAGGGCCCUUCCAACCCUAACAAUUCUAUGAUUCUUGAGGAACAAGUGGCCUUCAGCCAUCUGAGAUUGAGCAAUAACACGUCUGUGAUGCCCUUAGAUGUCUGGGGCCGCACGCGCGCUACACUAACUGGCUCAGCUUGUGCCUACCCUCCGCCGGCAGGCACGGGUAACCCAUUGAACCCCAUUUGUGAUGGGGAUCAGGGAUUGCAAUUGUUCCCCGUGAAUGAGGAAUUCCUAGUAAGUGCAGGUCAUAAGCGUUCAUUGAUUAAGUCCCUUUCAGAGGACACA
rnacentral:ncRNA from 1 species